rnacentral:rRNA from 1 species
UGAGGAAUAUUGGGCAAUGCCCGCAAGGGUGACCCAGCAACGCCGCGUGGAGGAUGAAUGUCGUAAGAUUGUAAACUCCUGUUAGAGGGGAAGAAUAGUACCGGUUGGACCGGUAUAUGACUGUACCCUCAGAGAAAGCCCCGGCUAACUACGUGCCAGCAGCCGCGGUAAUACGUAGGGGGCAAGCGUUGUCCGGAUUUACUGGGUGUAAAGGGAGCGCAGGCGGGAUAAAAAGUCAGUGGUGAAAUCCUACAGCUUAACUGUAGACAGGCCUUUGAUACUAUUAUUCUUGAGUUCGGGAGAGAGAGACGGAAUUCCAGGUGUAGUGGUGAAAUACGUAGAGAUCUGGAAGAACACCAGUUGCGAAGGCGGUCUCUUGGUCCGACACUGACGCUGAGGCGCGAAAGCGUGGGGAGCAAACA